CGUUCAGAAGUUGUCUCUGUCGUUACCCACACUAGUGGAUACGAGAAUGCAAUUGUUGA
rnacentral:ncRNA from 1 species